UACGGAGGAUGCGAGCGUUAUCCGGAUUUAUUGGGUUUAAAGGGUGCGUAGGCGGCUUUUUAAGUCAGCGGUGAAAUUUUGCAGCUUAACUGUAACAGUGCCGUUGAUACUGGGGAGCUAGGAUUUGGUUGCUGUGGGUGGAAUGUGUGGUGCAGCGGUGAAAUGCUUAGAGAUCACACAGAAUAUCGAUUGCGAAGGCAGCUCACAAAGCCAAGAUUGACGCUGAGGCACGAAAGUGUGGGGAUCAAACAGGAUUA
rnacentral:rRNA from 1 species